AGAACUCAGUGAUGAGCUAUUGAGGCUUCAGAUAGACCCAGUAUCCUAACUUUCCGAACUCAGUUGGUGUUUCUCCCAGUUUAAAAAUGUCAAUGUCACAGUUCAGGUCAGGAGCGAUCAGCAUUCUUCACACACAUGAAGUCCGGAGAAGAUUCUGACGCCGCCUUAUGCAGUUGCAGCUGAGGACAACUGAUAAUGAAGCUCCUCGGAGAAGUGCAACCGCAGCUAAAGUUACCCGAGCAGAGCUUUUCCUCACAACGGUUUGUUAUUAGUGUCACCCAGGAGUCCGCCAUAAACCCAGCUAACAACUUCUAAAUCAUGUCAACAUGGGAGAGAGAAGUACAAAUGACCUCCCAUUAUUGAUUUACUUAUGCCUUUGUGGCUGUUGAGCAUUCUGAUCCUUGUAAAUGUGGAGGAUCUUUUUUUUAUUUUUAAUGACCGCUUUAACUGCUUCUGUCCGUCAAUGAAGCAGCACAACUUUCUGCUCCGGCCAAAGGGCAGCAGAUACUGGAGAGGCAGUGGGGUGGGAAAGAUGUGGAGGAUAAAUACAAAGAUAGAGGGAAAGAAGUGGGUGGUAUGGGAACGGAAAGAAGGAUGAGGUAAGAGUGAAGGGAGAGGCCAGCCCUGACUGAACUGAGACGCUUAACUUUUGUUCACAUCAGGCUUGACAUACUGUAAGUAAGAGGGCAAAGUCAGACUGAAGACAGCUGACCCUUUUGUUACCCAUCGCAUACGCUAUGUAAUGAUAUCAGGCAAGUCUGCAUGCAAGCCAUGUUAAAACAUCAGAAUUCUCUCAAGCAAGCCUCAAGCAACCUUCUUUUGUGACCCAAAAAUGACAUUGAAAGAGCAACAUGUCUUUUUCCCACAGCUACAUGGAUAUUGUUUUAUUGAGUUGAUGCAUGCUGUAAUUUGUAAAGUCAAGUUCUCCUUUUUUUUUUGGAUUGAAAUGAUUCAGAUUGUAGCACCGAGAGGUAGAAGGAGAAGGAAAUGCAGAACACCACCAAAAUGAAAUCACCCAUUCCUUCUUCCAUUAUUAACUCGUCCUUUUCAGUACAGUCAAUUAUUUUGCUAAGUAACUGACAAAGGGAUACAAACCUUAGUUCCAAAGGCUCCACAAUGUGAUGUCACAUGCAAAAGAAGGAUCCUUUGCUGAUCUGUUCUCUCACUUUCUUUUUUAAAUUAAAGCGGCUAUGUGUAGUUUAAGAAUAUUUGCUUUUAGUCGGCGCCGCUGGUAAAUGAGUGCAAUUGCAAGCUGUCGUAAAAAUGGGUCUCCGGUCCUGAUCCCCAUCCCACGUUUGUAUGUUUUUGAGGAAAGACUGUGGCGAAACAGCAAAACAUGUUAUCACAGAUGGCAAUAUACACUAUCCAUACCUGCAAAGGCAACUCUAAAAGCGUCGAUCAUUCAACAUCAGAGACGGAACUCCGUCAUGCAGCCAGUGAGGAGAGGCAGGAUCCAGCGUGAGGUGGAAGCAGCUGCAAGACAGACGGGCCCAGAUAAUAAAACUUUAUUUUGACUGCUGGGCUUCAGAAUGAAGCAAAGGGGAAAGUUUGACGAUUUUCUGUAUUGGUGACAGCAAACCGCUAUCUUUUAGAUAUGAGAAAUAAAUCUGUCAGAUGUCAUCACGGGUCCGUCUCCUUCACAUGUCCGGCUGGAUU